rnacentral:lncRNA from 1 species
CGUCGAGGAAAAGUAAUCCAACAUAUUGGCAAAUACUGAAAUUCGAGUUCUCCAAACCUGAAAUCAAAGAAGAAAUGUAUGCAACAUUAAUGAGAAAACAUCCAUUAGCAGUGAAAUGCGAAGCUGCAACCAUUUCGAAUUUACCAUUGCGAAUAUUGGGUAGCAAAUGCACGUUAAAGGCAAAAGUAGAACUCCUGCUUCUAAUCUACACUAACUAUAUGUCAAAUUAAUAGCUUUGCUGUAAAUCAACAUUUUAGAAUUCUAACCUUUCAAACACGAGGUAAACUAGAUUAAUAAAUAUAAUUUGUAGAAUCUCGCAAAGGUCACAUGAACUGAAAUUCCAUACUUGAUAAGAACAGAGUAAUAUAUUAUCUAGAAAAUUAACAGAGUAAUAUAUGAAGAACAUAAUAAUAUAUUGUAGUAGUUGAUCAGUACAUGAUUGAGAAAUUACCUAAUAACUUUCUGAACGUGUUGGAACUCUGCAGCUUGCGGCACAACCUAGAAACCAAAAGAAUCGCAAUUAAUGAGCUCCAUUUCCAAAUCAUAUUCUUCACGCACACAAAAUAAAUGAAUUAUGUAGAGUGAAUAUGAGCAAAAACCUUAGUGGGGACGGCCUAGAAUAGGGCCGUGAGGAAUUUAACGCAGAAGAGAAAUUGGCAAUCUCUAUACAACACUAAGAUUGUGGAGAUAAGGAUUGAUAA